rnacentral:lncRNA from 1 species
ACACACACAAGCGCGCACACUGGCGCGCGCACCCACUGGGUCUCCAGGCGGCUGCCGUGUCCGCAUCCCCGGCAGCGGCUCCGGGCAAAGUGACAGAAAAAAGAUGGUUUCUCUAUGAUACAGGAUCUUGAAAUGUGAUCUUUCUUAAGGUACGUGUAUGUGCUUUUAAAAGUUAACUUAUUAUGACUUUUUAAAACAUUUUGUUAUCUUGACUACAUUGCAACUCAAACUAUUAAAUUGAGAAGCCAUUUUUAUGCAGUGCAUGCCAUUGUGAGUUGAAUUAAAACCUCCGAUUCAUCUUUCUAAGUUAAGUAUUGUGUUUUCCAAGCUUUUUAAAGAACAACUGUUUUGAGCAAGUAUUUGUCUACAGCAGUCAAUGCGUGAGAUGUGUAAUAAGUGAAUGUCUCUCAGUAGGUAGAUUUUUUUUUUAUUGAACUAGACUAAUUUCAGCCUAUCGAGAUGAAAUAUGUUCCUUUUUUUUUUCUGUGGGUGGCGUCAUUCUGGGAAGCCUAGAAUUUGGAAGUAUAGGAUGGUCUGUGGCCAAAGUUGUCACAGCUUCCAUUUUUUUCUGUGAGUUUUUUUUUUUUUUCCCCAGUGUGUGGAUUGUGGUUUGCUUGUCACUUUAUCAGCUAUAACAAAGUCAUGGACAUUCUAGGUUUAUUGGAGACUUUUUGCAAUCUAUACAGAGUCUCCAAUAGGUUUCUCCAUUUCAUGGACGGAGCUCCUAGCUUUGUUUUCCUAACGUUUACUCUGUAGCGUGUACCAAAUCUGCUGGUGUUCUGAAAGGUAUGCUUGAGGAUAUUGAUUCUGAUGAGAGUGGCAUGGCCAGAGGUCCCUAAAGGUGCUGGGAAAGUUCGAGACACAACUGUAGAAUCGCUUCUGAGAUUUGGGGAUGGUCCAAGAUCACCGCAGUCAAAUCUGACCUUGGGCCACUAUCCUUCACUGUGUUCCAACAGUCUCUGCUCAGAUUGUAGGAUUUUCAUUCCUAGGUCAUUUCGGGCCAGAGAAGAUAUGGUAUGGAAACAUUCUUCUCCAUUUUAUAAUCACAGAUUUGUGAAUCUGAUGGGGCGUGUCUUCAUUCUUCUGUCAGCUUCACAAAAGUGACUUUUCACCUCCAACUUUCCAUGACCUUGUCCAGCUUGUGGCCAUCCCCAGCCUGGGGAUGGCUCAGUUCUCCUCUUUGCCAGAACUCCCAAAGUUCCUUACCUGUUUAUCACUUACAAAACAUCACCUACCACUAGGGAGCGAAAAGGGAGAAUUAUGACAUGGACUAGAUCAUUGGAAAUCUGAGGUAAAGAACAAACAUGCUUCCUUAUCUCUAAAUUGGAAAUAGAGGAGAUAACGCUGAGAUGAAAUAUCUGUCCUACUAUAAGGUGAGUUGAAACAACAGUGUACGUUCAGCAUUUGGAAAUAAAAACUGCAAGGGUAUAUUUGUAAAUAGAGACAUUAAACGAAGAGAUUGCAGCUACUUUGCUGCAGAAAUGGACUUCACAGAUCUGCUGUGUGCAGAUUACUUACAGCGAAAUGACUGCAAAAUUAUGAACCAAAUGUUUGCUUUACCUUUUUUUUCCUUGAAAUUAUUUCUUCAGAUUUUGGCUUCAGAGAUGACACAGAGCAACGUGAGUUAAUCACAGGCGGAGGGCUGAUGAACAGCAUAUAAAUGUUGAUUUAUAAAAAUACUCUUUUAGGAAAUCCAAAUUGUUAGACCUUGAUCUUCUUCGCAGCUAGAAUGAUAAUUAGGCUUCAUUGCAGCAUAAAUAAUUUAUACUAUACAUCUGCUACCAGACAUACAUUGAAAAAAUUUGGCUCCCAAGCAUUAGGAAAAUUGCAUUUUCUCAUUUCUCUAAUACCAACCCAAAGCCCCUCUUGUGAGUGAGGACCCACAUCUGUGCCAUGUAUUUUCACAUAUCUGCAGCACACCUGGGGACAGGGUCUUUAGAAGGGGCUUCUGACCUGUGUGGGUCACAGAGUCCAGGAAGUGGUGGGAUAUGUAAGAGGUCCUGGAAUCCAUGGUAACAUUAAGGGUUGUUCACAUGUUGAAUAAGUAACGUCUCCCACAUUUAUGUGUAUGACUCUUUGGAAAUCCUAUAUAGUUGCUGUUGUUAUGAUGAAAUAUACAUGAAUAUAAGGGACCUGAAUUAUGAGGAGUUCUUUACUUAGAAUAGAUGUUCUUACCAGGAGUUAAAGCACAACCAUUAUAAACUAUUGUAAAUUUGACUGUUGUAAAAUGAGUUGAGCAACUCCUUUUGACUUUAAAACUGGGGAGUUCCGUCAUGGCGCAGCGGAAACGAAUCCGACUGGGAACCAUCAGUCGGAUUCCCUGGCCUCACUCAGUGGGUUAAGGAUCCGGCUUUGCGGUGAGCUGUGGUGUAGGUUGCACACACGGCUCAGAUCUGGCAUUGCUGUGGCUCCGAUUAGACCCCUAGCCUGGGAACUUCCAUAUGCUGCAGUUGCGGCCAUAAAAACUGAAAGAAAAAAAGAAAAAAAAAAAAA